rnacentral:lncRNA from 1 species
UGAGAAGCAGCUGGAGGAAUGGGGACCAAAGUACCCUGCUUGGAGCUUCUCCAGCUGUGGGUGAGAGGCUGGGACCACCCUGUCAUGAGGGUCUUGCUAGAAAGUGCCUGCCUCACACUGUGCACGAGCCUUAGGACAGGCUCUGUGAGAUGUUCACACCUGUGUAUCCCCCACGUCUCCUGUGGAUGCAGCCCUGAUAAUGAGUGGACGGCCACACACCCCAACAUGCCUGGGCCCUGGACCCGGUUUGAGUCGACUGGAAGGCCACUGCGGCCACUCUCUGGUGAGAACUGUGGGGGUGUAGCCGCCCUGGACACCCCUCCACCCCAAGUUCUCCUGCUCUUCACUGAAAUCCACAAGCUUCGACCCUUCCCCUCUGUCUGCGUUGCACCCGCCCCGCUCUGUCCCCUGGACCCCUCACCCAUUAAUGAAAACAAACAGUGCUCCCUGGAGAAGCUGCUCUAAGCCGGGGAACCUGACCCAAGAUCCGGGGCUGUGACUGCCUGUCUCCCAGUCUCCUCGGAGGGGCAGGCUGGCACCCAGGGCUCCUCCCGUGAGGUGGAUGCAGCAGCC